CAGCGCUCUCUCGUGAAAAGCCUGGUACUGGGGCUUCGAGUCACAGUGUAUCGAAGAAUUUGUUGAAGGUUGUGCUUUCGUGGUGCUGUAUUUCAUCGGUAGUUCUACAGUGUUUGCGCCCGUAAGAGAGUUGGUGCCACGGUACCUGUGAGACGAAGGAGCGUUUGCUGACUACGUCUUGAAAGUUGAAGGCUAUGCGGAUUCUGGAGGCAUCCCACAGGAACCUGCAGCACUGCGGCAAGCUGGAGAGCACCACUAUAAAACACCUGAUCAGCGUGCUCUUACAAAGGCUUGCAGCAAGAGGGAUAUCAAGAACACGGGAGAUAUCAAGA